UCUGUCAUCCUUCCUGUCAUUUCCACAGAGGACGCUGGAGGAAGAGGAUGGCAGAGAGAAGGUGAAGAAUUCUCAUUGCUUCAAGUGUCUGGGGACAUUCCCAUUGUCCCAGAAUAUAUAAAGCCAGUUGUUUGGGGGUGAGGCAUCACUCUGUGAAGAUACCCCAGAGAAGAACCAGCAUCUGUUGUAUUUGGUGGCACUGAAUUUGGC